CCACGAUCAAACCUAAAUAUGUAAAGGAACUACUGCACCUAUUCAGUGCCAAAUGGAAAUGCUAGGGGGAUCAGAGCCGUGAGGAUUUGGUGUACCUGCUCACUCACAGACAGAACAGAAGAUAAGCACAUUCAAAAGUUAUUCCCAUGUUGACACUCUUCUUUCUCAUGGGCAGUUGACUCAGGUCCUAUCUUCACAGGGUUUACUGGACCAUGUCAUUUGAAUGCUACCCCAUACCCACACCACCACUUGAUAUGGCCCAAAGCAAAAUCAGCCUCUUUCAUCAAAACUAUUUCCUUCUUCAUCUCUGACAUGGAGCCAUUAUGCACGUCAACCAGGUGUGAAACUACAUAACCAUAUUUAUCUAACCCUUCUUCCUCAC
rnacentral:lncRNA from 10 species